UAACCCUCUCACUUUAAUGACAGUCUCAUAAAAUUCCGUUAUAUUUACAUUGAUGGCGUUAAAUAAACAGACACAAUAAAUAAAAUAGUCAAAAUAUGGGUACAUCAGUCAUCAUCGUAUAACAAUUUUAAAAGGAACAAUUUUAAAACAGAACACAAAAACAUCUACUAUCUACGAACACAUUCAUUGAUUUGAGUGUCUGACAUCAGAAAAUUUUAUACGUCACAUAAAUUUGUCGUUCAAUGUGCAUACAAACGAUUUUAAAAUUUUACAUAGGCAAUGUUAGUCAUUCUCAAGAAGUAAAUGGAAAGGAGCGAAUGCAGCUACAUUUGGUCAUCUUAAGUUUUAAUACAUUUUAUUCCGUUUAGUUCCUUUCUUCAUAAGUGUAGAGGAGAACGGCAGUUGUCCGCAUGUAAACUUCUAGCAUUUGUCACCAAUAUGAGUACAUCGCAAUCCGUUACUGUUUCAACACCCAGGGGUGUUUCAUGUGUGUAUUCUUAAACAAUUAUUAUUUUUUCUCUCUUUUUUAGCAAUGCAUCACUCUCUACUGUCCUUAUCUAUUAUUCUAUAUUCUGCUACUCCAUCCAGAUUAUCGUGUAUACCAUGAGGGUUCGGAUUGGGGGUGUUGUUUAUUUCUGUAUUCUUUAAAUUGUUAUGUCACGUUUCUUCCGUGACGUUUUUUUCCUUUUACCUUUUAUUUAUCUUACUCAUUAUUCUUUCUCUAUUCUUUAUAUUUUAGCAUCCCAAUAUAUUUUACUUACUGAUGUUUAGUUACAUUACGACGUUUAUCUCUGAUUUAUAUACUGGUUACCAAUGUAGAUGACAAGUUGGUGUCAUGCAUGACAAUUAAACAGAAUCCACAUGACAUAUGCGACCAUUCUUGGAUGAAAUUAACAUUACUUUAAUAUUACACUUUUUGAAACCGUUUUUAUCAAUUUUCUAUUUCCAUUGUUUAAAUUGUUCAUUGUUCACAGUGGCGGAUCCAGCCAUUUUAAAAAUGGG
rnacentral:lncRNA from 1 species